rnacentral:rRNA from 1 species
AUACGUAGGUGGCAAGCGUUAUCCGGAUUUACUGGGUGUAAAGGGCGCGUAGGCGGGGGUGCAAGUCAGAUGUGAAAUCUAUGGGCUUAACUCGUAAACUGCAUUUGAAACUGUAUCUCUUGAGUGCUGGAGAGGUAGACGGAAUUCCUUGUGUAGCGGUGAAAUGCGUAGAUAUAAGGAAGAACACCAGUGGCGAAGGCGGUCUACUGGACAGUAACUGACGCUGAGGCGCGAAAGCGUGGGGAGCAAACAGGAUUAGAUACCCUGGUAGUCCACGCUGUAAACGAUGAUUACUAGGUGUGGGGGGACUGACCCCUUCCGUGCCGCAGUUAACACAAUAAGUAAUCCGCCUGGGGAGUACGGCCGCAAGGUUGAAACUCAAAUGAAUUGACGGGG